GAGUUUGAUCCUGGCUCAGAUUGAACGCUGGCGGAAUGCUUUACACAUGCAGGUCGAACGGCAGCACGGGGGCAACCCUGGUGGCGAGUGGCGAACGGGUGAGUAAUACAUCGGAACGUGCCCAGUCGUGGGGGAUAACGUAGCGAAAGCUACGCUAAUACCGCAUACGAACUCUGGUUGAAAGCGGGGGAUCGCAAGACCUCGCGCGAUUGGAGCGGCCGAUGGCAGAUUAGGUAGUUGGUGGGGUAAAGGCCUACCAAGCCGACGAUCUGUAGCUGGUCUGAGAGGACGACCAGCCACACUGGGACUGAGACACGGCCCAGACUCCUACGGGAGGCAGCAGUGGGGAAUUUUGGACAAUGGGCGCAAGCCUGAUCCAGCCAUUCCGCGUGCAGGAUGAAGGCCCUCGGGUUGUAAACUGCUUUUGUACGGAACGAAACGGUCUUUUCUAAUACAAGAGGCUAAUGACGGUACCGUAAGAAUAAGCAACCGGCUAAACUACGUGCCAGCAGCCGCAGUAAC
rnacentral:rRNA from 1 species